rnacentral:misc_RNA from 1 species
GUGAAUCAUCGAAUUUUUGAACGCAAAUUGCACUCUCUGGUAUUCCAGGGGGUAUGCCUGUUUGAGGGUCAGUUGAAAUAAAAAGCUUUGUUUUGUCUUCCUUUCGUGGUGACGCACCGGAUUUGGUUCAACUUGCCUUCGGUUAAGUGACCUAAAAUGUUGCAUGAUUUUUUCUAACGUAGUUACAUGAUGUUACGGACGUUUUCGAUAUCAAAUACUAGGUUUGGUCAUCCUCAUGAUUCGCGCCUAUAAUUUUUCAUCAAAUUGACAUCAA